UACGAGUACCCCAAGCGUUAUCCGGAAUCAUUGGGCGUAAAGGGUGUGUAGGUGGUCUGGUUAGUCUUCUGUUAAAAUCUUGGGCUUAACCCAAGUCUUGCAGAGGAAACGGCCAGACUCGAGGAUGCGAGAGGUGAAUGGAACUCAUGGAGUAGGGGGUAAUAUCCGUUGAUAUCAUGGGGAACACCAAAAGCGAAGGCAAUUCACUGGCGCAUUCCUGACACUGAAACACGAAAGCGUGGGUAGCGAAUGGG
rnacentral:rRNA from 1 species